GAUGAACGCUAGCUACAGGCUUAACACAUGCAAGUCGAGGGACCGGCGCACGGGUGCGUAACACGUAUCCAAUCUGCCCUUUCCUCGGGGAUAUCCUUUCGAAAGAAAGAUUAAUACCCGAUAUAAAGGCUGGGGAUGCGUUCCAUUAGGUUGUUGGUGAGGUACCGGCCCACCAAGCCUUCGAUGGAUAGGGGUUCUGAGAGGAAGGUCCCCCAGAUUGGAACUGGGACACGGUCCAAACUCCUACGCGAGGCAGCAGUGAGGAAUAUUGGUCAAUGGGCGGUAGCCUGAACCAGCCAAGUAGCGUGAAGGAUGAAUGCUUAUGGGUCGUAAACUUCUUUUAUAUAAGAAUAUGUAUUAUAUGAAUAAGGAUCGGCUAACUACGUGCCAGCAGCCGCGGUAAUAC
rnacentral:rRNA from 1 species